GACGAACGCUGGCGGCGUGCUUAACACAUGCAAGUCGAACGGAAAGGCCCUGCUUUUGUGGGGUGCUCGAGUUGCGAACGGGUGAGUAACAAGUGAGUAACCUGCCCUUGACUUUGUGAUAACGUCAGGAAACUAGGGCUAAUACCGGAUAGUAGCUCCUGCUGCAUGGUGGGGGAUGGAAAGUUUCGGCGGUUGGGGAUGGACUCGCGGCUUAUCAGCUUGGUGGUGGGGUAGUGGCUUACCAAGGCUUUGACGGGUAGCCGGCCUGGGAGGGGGGCCGGACACAUCAGGAUUGAGAUACGGCACAGACCCAUACGGGAGGCAGCAGUGGGGAAUAGUGCACAAUGGGCGGAAGGCUGAUGCAGCAACGCGGCGUGGGGGAUGCCGGCAAUCGGGUUGUAAACCGAUUUCGCCUGUGACGAAGCGUGAGUGACGGUAAUGUGUAAAGAAGCACCGGCUAACUACGUG
rnacentral:rRNA from 1 species